rnacentral:rRNA from 1 species
AGACGGGGGGUGCUAGCGUUGCUCGGAAUCACUGGGCGUAAAGGGCGCGUAGGCGGCCUCGUGCGUCGGGCGUGCAAGCCCGGGGCUCAACCUCGGAAUGGCGUUCGAUACGGCGGGGCUUGAGGCCGGAAGAGGAGGGUGGAAUUCCCAGUGUAGAGGUGAAAUUCGUAGAUAUUGGGAGGAACACCGGUGGCGAAAGCGGCUCUCUGGUCCGGUCCUGACGCUGAGGCGCGAAAGCGUGGGGAGCAAACAGGAUUAGAAACCCUAGUAGUCCC